AGGGCUUGACAUGUAUCUGCAAGCUACCGAAAAGUAGUCGCCUUCGAGGGUGAUCCACAGGUGGUGCAUGGCUGUCGUCAGCUCGUGUUGUGAAAUGUUGGGUUAAGUCCCGCAACGAGCGCAACCCUCAUGUUCUGUUGCCAGCGGGUAAUGCCGGGAACUCGGAACAAACUGCCUCUGUAAAGAGGAGGAAGGUGGGGAUGACGUGGACGUCAUAACC
rnacentral:misc_RNA from 1 species